rnacentral:rRNA from 1 species
UUCGCAAUGCCCGAAAGGGUGACGGAGCGACGCCGCGUGGGUGAUGAAGGCCUUCGGGUUGUAAAGCCCUGUCAACUGGGAAGAAUGGCGGGAGGUGGAUAGCCAUCUCGUCUGACGCUACCAGUGAAGGAAGCACCGGCUAAAUACGUGCCAGCAGCCGCGGUAAUACGUAUGGUGCGAACGUUGUUCGGAAUCACUGGGCAUAAAGAGCACGUAGGCGGUUGAGCAAGUCCAUUGUGAAAUCCCCCGGCUUAACCGGGGAACUGCAGUGGAUACUACUUGACUUGAGUGCAGGAGGGGAGAGUGGAAUUCCAGGUGGAGCGGUGAAAUGCGUAGAUACCUGGAGGAACGCCGGUGGCGAAAGCGACUCUCUGGUCUGUAACUGACGCUGAGGUGCGAAAGCUAGGGGAGCAAACGGGAUUAGAUACCCCGGUAGUCCUAGCCCUAAACGAUGGGCACUAAGUAGAGGGGUUUU